rnacentral:rRNA from 1 species
AUUGAACGCUGGCGGCAUGCUUUACACAUGCAAGUCGAACGGUAACAGGCCGCAAGGUGCUGACGAGUGGCGGACGGGUGAGUAAUGCAUCGGAACGUGCCCAGUCGUGGGGGAUAACUACUCGAAAGAGUAGCUAAUACCGCAUACGAUCUAUGGAUGAAAGCGGGGGACCGUAAGGCCUCGCGCGAUUGGAGCGGCCGAUGCCAGAUUAGGUAGUUGGUGGGGUAAAGGCUCACCGAGCCAACGAUCUGUAGCUGGUCUGAGAGGACGACCGGCCACACUGGGACUGAGACACGGCCCAGACUCCUACGGGAGGCAGCAGUGGGGAAUUUUGGACAAUGGGCGCAAGCCUGAUCCAGCAAUGCCGCGUGCAGGAAGAAGGCCUUCGGGUUGUAAACUGCUUUUGUACGGAACGAAACGGCUCUGGUUAAUACCCGGGGCUAAUGACGGUACCGUAAGAAUAAGCACCGGCUAACUACGU